UCCGCUCAGCUCCAGCUUCACGGUCAAAACUGGGAACAAUAUCCGAUCCGAAAAGCAGCUAAAGUCCUCAUCUUCUUGCCUUUGCGCAGGAACAACUAAACUCCCUAGCAACCUACCUAUCUUCGUCGCCGGCAACCCUACAAAGUUGUGAGCGAUACGCUGCAUGCCGUCUUGAUUUUGAUGACUGUAGUCGUUGGCGUGUCGCUCCCUUUUUAUAACGGAAGCGUCAAAGGGGAAGUGGAGUAACUCAGAGCAGAUUUUCUUGUCUUGGCUGUGUCUGAUAUGGAAGGUGACUCACAAUCCUUCAGUAUGCAAUGAGCUACACAGCUGGACAAGGAAAAGAGUAGACGUUAUAGAAAGCGGAAGUACUUUGAAUUCAUAGUGCCGCUUUUAAAUCAAUAUGCCUGGCCUUUGUAAAUACGGACAGAACGAGAGGGGAGCACUGUGAAUGCAAUGUGCCAGUGCAUAUGGCAUCUUCCUUAUAUAAAGUGACAGGAGACACCGACGUAAACAGCUGCCACUACUAGGCUCUAGUAGCCUAACAAAGAAUCUGUGUCCACUCUACGUCAGGUGGAUUACCAGGUGGAUUCAUUGAGCUAACCGGUCCUUUUCCUUAUGUUUCGCUGCAGGAGAACUUUACCCUGGAAAUAAUUCAGGGUGGAAACAAUGUGUGCUACAAUGUCUGAAUUUCUGAAAGGAGUGAUGUGCACUCUAGUGAGGAGAAAUAUAAGGAAGAAGGAGGAUCUGAACGUUACACAAUCCAGUGAGGCAAUGGAUUAUAAGGAAGAAGGCGAGGUUGUCUUUAAAUACAGGAGGAUCCGAAUGUUGUAAUGUCCAGUGAGCCAAUGGAUUAUGAGGAUCAAGGACAUGCACAGAGCGUAUAAUAUCGCCAUUAAGAUAGCAAGUCAAUUACACUAGUAAUAACUAGAAAUGUAGCUAUGUAUGGAUUUUUCUGUAUGGAUGUGUAGCCUACAUUACCUAAGUAAUAAACAGAAGACUUUGAAUUCUGUCAGUAAGAUAUUCAGUUUGAAACACAUGAGUUGUUGAUGAGAACAAUGUGAAAAAUAUUUUUUACAAAGGGGACAAAUGUUGACAUUACAUGAUUUAAGAGUUUCUUUGUGCAGUGAUGCAUCAUGUAGCAGAUUAUCAAAAAAGUGGGAAGCUUUUAAAAAUGCUUACAUCUAUACUCACAGCUGUAUAGCUUAUUUAAAAUGCUUAUUGUGUUACUUUCUACAGCUACUGUCUAUUACAUACUGUAGUUUUUCUACACUCACUGAAAAUAAUCAUGUAAAUAAAAUCAAUCAAAAGUUGGUAUUACUCAAAUUCGCAAUUUAAGAGCUGCUGCUUUUACUUAAGGUAACUUCUAAACACUUCAAUUAAUUCAAUUAAUUAAAACAAGUAAAAACAAAUUACUGCCAAUUAAUUUCAGAUUUGUAAUACUUUACUAAUGAGGUUGUCCUACUCUAAGCCCCAUUUUACUAAUGUGCAGGGUCAGGGGUAGCUCAGUGGUUAAGGUACUUGAUUUGUAAUUGGAAGGUUGCUUGAUCAAGCCCCACCACUGCCAAA